AUGGGCACCGGGCUUCUUGGUUGGGCAGUGCUCUGUCUCCUUGACACAGUUCUGUCUGAAACUGGAGUCACCCAGUCCCCCAGAUAUGCAAUCAUACAGGAAAGUCAGACUGUUUCCUUUUGGUGUGACCCUGUUUCUGGACAUGAGAGACUUUACUGGUAUCAGCAACACAGAGCCCAGGGGCCCCGGCUUCUAGUUUACUUUCAGAAUGAGGUUGAUAUAGAUAAGUCACAGUUACCCAAGGAUCGUUUUUUUGCUGUGAGGACUGAAGGAGUCAACUCCACUCUCAAGAUCCAGUCUGCAAAGCAGAGUGACUCAGCCACCUAUCUCUGUGCCAGCAGUUUAGCCACAGCAAUGCAGAGACACAUUCCUGCUGUGCACAAAGCUGAUGGUUUUCUUCACACCAUUGUUCAGCAGAGACUUGUCACUACUUCUUAG